rnacentral:tRNA from 1 species
GAUGGGGUCAGCUAAUUAAGCUUUCGGGCCCAUACCGCGAACGUGACGGUUAGAGUCUCUUCUCCAUCA